rnacentral:rRNA from 1 species
UGGGGAAUCUUGCGCAAUGGGCGAAAGCCUGACGCAGCCAUGCCGCGUGAAUGAUGAAGGUCUUAGGAUUGUAAAAUUCUUUCAGCGGGGACGAUAAUGACGGUACCCGCAGAAGAAGCCCCGGCUAACUUCGUGCCAGCAGCCGCGGUAAUACGAAGGGGGCUAGCGUUGCUCGGAUUUACUGGGCGUAAAGGGCGCGUAGGCGGAUUGACAAGUUGGGGGUGAAAGCCCGGGGCUCAACCUCGGAAUUGCCUUCAAAACUGUCAGUCUUGAGUUCGGGAGAGGUGAGUGGAACUCCGAGUGUAGAGGUGAAAUUCGUAGAUAUUCGGAAGAACACCAGUGGCGAAGGCGACUCACUGGCCCGAUACUGACGCUGAGGCGCGAAAGCGUGGGGAGCAAACAGGAUUAGAUACCCUGGUAGUCCACGCUGUAAACGAUGAGUGCUAGUUGUCGGCAGGCAUGCCUGUCGGUGACGCAGCUAACGCAUUAAGCACUCCGCCUGGGGGAGUACGGUCGCAAGAUUAAAACUCAAAUGAAUUGAC